UACGUGGGGGGCAAGCGUUGUCCGGAAUUAUUGGGCGUAAAGAGCGCGUAGGCGGUCCGGUAAGUCGGCUGUGAAAGUCAAGGGCUCAACCCUUGAAAGCCGGCCGAUACUGUCGGACUAGAGUCCGGAAGAGGCGAGUGGAAUUCCUGGUGUAGCGGUGAAAUGCGCAGAUAUCAGGAGGAACACCGAUGGCGAAGGCAGGUCUCUGGGCCACUACUGACGCUGAGAAGCGAAAGCAUGGGGAGCGAACAGG
rnacentral:rRNA from 1 species